GAUACCCGUAGAUCACCAAGGGAUCUAGAGUGGGUUGAGUCACAACUCGCACCAUUUCAGAGGCGGCAUCGUACAGCCCGCCCCAAUACAUGGCUUUGCCCACCAAUAACAGGGCACCCAUGCCUAAAAACAGGAGAUGAUGACCAAGAAUAAUGCCCAAUUGCUUCGGGUCAUCCCA
rnacentral:antisense_RNA from 1 species